rnacentral:rRNA from 1 species
UACAGAGGUCUCAAGCGUUGUCCGGAUUCAUUGGGCGUAAAGAGCGUGUAGGCGGCCAGGUAGGUCGGUUGUGAAAACUGGAGGCUCAACCUUCAGAGGUCGACCGAAACCAUCUGGCUAGAGUCCGGGAGAGGAGAGUGGAAUUCCUGGUGUAGCGGUGAAAUGCGCAGAUAUCAGGAAGAACACCCGUGGCGAAAGCGGCUCUCUGGAACGGUACUGACGCUGAGACGCGAAAGCGUGGGGAGCGAACAGG